rnacentral:rRNA from 1 species
UACGGGGGGGGCAAGCGUUGUUCGGAAUUACUGGGCGUAAAGGGCUCGUAGGCGGCCAACUAAGUCAGACGUGAAAUCCCUCGGCUUAACCGGGGAACUGCGUCUGAUACUGGAUGGCUUGAGUUCGGGAGAGGGAUGCGGAAUUCCAGGUGUAGCGGUGAAAUGCGUAGAUAUCUGGAGGAACACCGGUGGCGAAGGCAGCUCGCUGGGACGGUACUGACGCUGAGGCGCGAAAGCGUGGGGAGCGAACAGG